GCAAGCAUCAGAAAAUAGCGCGGGUUUUACUGAGUGUCGUCUGCCUGCGCUAUCAAACUAUUCCUGUUUUUCUGAUAUUUGUGGCACAGUAUGUCUGUUUGUCAUGAGCCUACACAUAGUAAUUUAUCUGACAUCCAACGAGAGUUCCUGAAAGGCGCGGCGUACAUCGAGGGAACAGACUCGGAACGGCUUCAAGUCGCCGCUAUACGUCGUCCAUACAGUGACAAACUCCUGAUGGAGGGAGGGACGAGCACACGUUACUUUGGAGUCAACCCACCUGAUUAGGCCGUCAACCGUCCUACCCUUGAUCAUCUUACAAGCAGAACUCGCUUCCUUCCCCAGUGUUUCUCGAGCUGCAAAAUCAUUCCAGAUCGCUUUUGGAGAGCAACCUCUUUAAAAGGCCUGGAAAGCAGCAGCCCAGCCUCAGAAGAAACGAGACCUCGUCUAGGUCAGACCACUGGCCCCUUACCAGACCCCCGCCCCCUCCUGGGCCUGGUUUUCCCAUGCCUUGGGAAGCCCAAGUAUAUUUUUAAAAGUCCAUAGUGUCGAGACUUAGAGGAGAAGACAACCAGCAUCAUCACUAAAGACAAACGCUGUGCCUGGCUGUGGUAGAACUUGGAAAUCCUUCGAAUCUUGCCAUUUUGCUCCAUUGCGCAAUUUUCCUAAAAACAUGGCCGGGGUGCUCCCACCACGUGUUCGAGUGGACUGAAAAAAGUUCACCUGCUCUUGUGUUCCUGGACCCCUGUAAAUUUAUGUAAAUACAGUGCUUUUAAAACUAGAAUCCAGCUUUUAUGUAAAUUCCUCCGUCUUCAGUAAACCCGGCCUUAUGCCUGAGAAGUUUAGUUUUUCAACCUUUUUUCCUUUGUUCAAACCCCUCGUCCUCUAGUCAAGGCCUAAAUCUUCAAUGUAAGUGUAUUUUCUGGGAGGA